rnacentral:rRNA from 1 species
GAACGCUGGCGGCGUGCUUAACACAUGCAAGUCGAACGAAGCAUUUAAGACAGAUUUCUUCGGAAUUGAAGUUUUUUAUGACUGAGUGGCGGACGGGUGAGUAACGCGUGGGUAACCUGCCUCACACAGGGGGGAUAGCAGUUGGAAACGACUGGUAAUACCGCAUAAGCGCACAGCUUCGCAUGAAGCGGUGUGAAAAACUCCGGUGGUGUGAGAUGGACCCGCGUCUGAUUAGGUAGUUGGUGAGGUAACGGCCCACCAAGCCGACGAUCAGUAGCCGACCUGAGAGGGUGACCGGCCACAUUGGGACUGAGACACGGCCCAGACUCCUACGGGAGGCAGCAGUGGGGAAUAUUGCACAAUGGAGGAAACUCUGAUGCAGCGACGCCGCGUGAGUGAAGAAGUAUUUCGGUAUGUAAAGCUCUAUCAGCAGGGAAGACAGUGACGGUACCUGACUAAGAAGCUCCGGCUAAAUACGUG